UAGGGAAUCUUCGGCAAUGGACGAAAGUCUGACCGAGCAACGCCGCGUGAGUGAAGAAGGUUUUCGGAUCGUAAAACUCUGUUGUUAGAGAAGAACAAGGACGUUAGUAACUGAACGUCCCCUGACGGUAUCUAACCAGAAAGCCACGGCUAACUCCGUGCCAGCAGCCGCGGUAAUACGGAGGGUGCAAGCGUUAAUCGGAAUUACUGGGCGUAAAGCGCACGCAGGCGGUUUGUUAAGUCAGAUGUGAAAUCCUCGGGCUCAACCUGGGAACUGCAUCUGAUACUGGCAAGCUUGAGUCUCGUAGAGGGGGGUAGAAUUCCAGGUGUAGCGAUGAAAUGCGUAGAGAUCUGGAGGAAUACCGGUGGCGAAGGCGGCCCCCUGGACGAAGACUGACGCUCAGGUGCGAAAGCGUGGGGAGCAAACAGG
rnacentral:rRNA from 1 species